rnacentral:lncRNA from 1 species
AGGGGGAGCAAGCUUGCGGUUUGCUUGCUGGAGAGUCCAGGCGCUGAUAACCCAACGCCUGAUUAUGCAAGUUGAUCGGCGGCUGUAUUUAUAUAUAGCCCUCUCUAGACAGACAACUCUACUCCAUCCCCAUCAACUCUAAUCUGUAAUAGCUACAGGGUGUCUGUUUCUCUCUCUGGGAAUUGCUGAAGGGGAGGCAGUUUUGUGAAAGAGCGAUAAGGGGAGAUACCGAGAAACUUGCUUGCUUGUUAAAUGGAGAAUAUUCUGAAUUUUCUGCUCCCCUGCCACCUCGGGCAGAACAAAGCUCUGUCACAACGGUGUUUCCUGGUUGUCGCCUCCUGCCUGCAAGUGGCUGAAGGCUUUCCCCGGCUUGAUAUCAUCAUGCAGAAAAGGAUGAAGGCGACGCAAUGAGCGGUUCAGGUACUGACGGAGUCCCAGUCAGAUGCUUCCUUAUGGAAUUCUUACCUCCUUUUUGUUGGCUGAACACAAAAUAGUAACUGUGGGAGCACAAGAACCACUUUGGGUAUUGGAUUUUAGACUGGACCAUUGGACAGCGUGACUUACCUGGCUG